CAGUGUGACUCGUCACACUAUCAUUAACUGAAUCCAUAGGUUAAUGAGGCGAACCGGGGGAACUGAAACAUCUAAGUACCCCGAGGAAAAGAAAUCAACCGAGAUUCCCCCAGUAGCGGCGAGCGAACGGGGAGGAGCCCAGAGCCUGAAUCAGCAUGUGUGUUAGUGGAAGCGUCUGGAAAGGCGCGCGAUACAGGGUGACAGCCCCGUACACAAAAGCGCAUGUGCUGUGAGCUCGAUGAGUAGGGCGGGACACGUGGUAUCCUGUCUGAAUAUGGGGGGACCAUCCUCCAAGGCUAAAUACUCCUGACUGACCGAUAGUGAACCAGUACCGUGAGGGAAAGGCGAAAAGAACCCCGGCGAGGGGAGUGAAAAAGAACCUGAAACCGUGUACGUACAAGCAGUGGGAGCACAGGUUUACCUGUGUGACUGCGUACCUUUUGUAUAAUGGGUCAGCGACUUAUAUUCUGUAGCAAGGUUAACCGUAUAGGGGAGCCGUAGGGAAACCGAGUCUUAAC
rnacentral:rRNA from 2 species